UAGGGAAUCUUCCACAAUGGGCGAAAGCCUGAUGGAGCAACGCCGCGUGUGUGAUGAAGGGUUUCGGCUCGUAAAGCACUGUUGUAAGAGAAGAAUGACAUUGAGAGUAACUGUUCAAUGUGUGACGGUAUCUUACCAGAAAGGAACGGCUAAAUACGUGCCAA
rnacentral:rRNA from 1 species